rnacentral:rRNA from 1 species
GAUGAACGCUAGCGGCAGGCCUAACACAUGCAAGUCGAGGGGUAGGAAGAGCUUGCUUUUCUGAGACCGGCGCACGGGUGCGUAACGCGUAUACAAUCUACCUUGUACAGGGGGAUAGCCCAGAGAAAUUUGGAUUAAUACCUCAUAGUGUUAUUGAGUGGCAUCACAUGAUAACUAAAGUUCCAACGGUACAAGAUGAGUAUGCGUCCCAUUAGUUAGAUGGUAAGGUAACGGCUUACCAUGACAAUGAUGGGUAGGGGGCCUGAGAGGGAGACCCCCCACACUGGGACGGCGACACGGACCAGACUCCUACGGGAGGCAGCAGUGAGGAAUAUUGGACAAUGGGGGCAACCCUGAUCCAGCCAUGCCGCGUGCAGGAUGACUGUCCUAUGGAUUGUAAACUGCUUUUAUACAGGAAGAACCCCUUCUUUGCGAAGAAGACUGACGGUACUGUAAGAAUAAGGAUCGGCUAACUCCGUGCCAGCCGCCGCCGUAAAAC